rnacentral:tRNA from 1 species
GCAGGAUUGGUGAAAUUGGCAGACGCACAGGACUUAAAAUCCUGCGAUAGAAAUAUCAUACCAGUUCAAGUCUGGUAUCCUGCACCA